rnacentral:rRNA from 1 species
ACCGCACAAGCAGCGGAGCGUGUGGUUUAAUUCGAUGCUACACGAAGAACCUUACCAAGGUUUGACAUGUAAGUGGUAGUGAUCUGAAAAGUGAACGACCCUUCGGGGAGCUUACACAGGUGCUGCAUGGCUGUCGUCAGCUCGUGUCGUGAGAUGUUCGGUUAAGUCCGCUAACGAGCGCAACCCUCACUGUGUGUUACAUGUGUCACACGGGACUGCCGGUUUUAAGCCGGAGGAAGGCGAGGAUGACGUCAAGUCAGCAUGGCCUUUAUAUCUUGGGCUACACACACGCUACAAUGGUCUGUACAAUAGGUUGCCAAGCCGCGAGGCGGAGCCAAUCCUUAAAGCAGGCCUCAGUUCAGAUUGCAGGCUGCAACCCGCCUGCAUGAAGAUGGAGUUGCUAGUAACCGCAGGUUAGCUAUACUGCGGUGAAUACGUUCCCGGGUCUU